AUUGAACGCUGGCGGCAUGCCUUACACAUGCAAGUCGAACGGCAGCACGGGAGCAAUCCUGGUGGCGAGUGGCGAACGGGUGAGUAAAGUAUCGGAACGUGCCCAGUCGUGGGGGAUAACGUAGCGAAAGUUACGCUAAUACCGCAUACGAUCUAUGGAUGAAAGCGGGGGAUCGCAAGACCUCGCGCGAUUGGAGCGGCCGAUAUCAGAUUAGGUAGUUGGUGGGGUAAAGGCUCACCAAGCCGACGAUCUGUAGCUGGUCUGAGAGGACGACCAGCCCCACUGGGACUGAGACACGGCCCAGACUCCUACGGGGGGCAGCAGUGGGGAAUUUUGGACAAUGGGCGCAAGCCUGAUCCAGCCAUGCCGCGUGCAGGAUGAAGGCCUUCGGGUUGUAAACUGCUUUUGUACGGAACGAAAAGGUUUGGCUUAAUACGUUGAACUCAUGACGGUACCGUAAGAAUAAGCACCGGCUGACUACGUGCCAGCCGCCGCGGUAA
rnacentral:rRNA from 1 species